rnacentral:lncRNA from 1 species
GAGAGCUAUAAGGAGAAUGAGAAAUUGUUCUAGACGCAUUUGAGCAUUCGACAUCCUUUUGCUGAACUGCUUGGCUGCAUACAAAAUGGAUAAGAAAGAUGAGUGUAUUCAUUCAUAAUAGGUAAAACAAAUGUGAGACUCGUGUAUCUGUUGAGAGGCAAGUGCAACAAAGAGAAAAUAGAUGAAUAUACAACAGAUAAAACCAAAUUGCUGGCCAAAAGCCACAACACCUUUCUUCAAUAGAACAACUAAAAGCUGAAUCUCUCUAAGAAAUUUCCACAAGCAUUAAGAAGGCUUCAUAUUUUAUGAUUCAAAUAUAAGAAGUUAAAAGUGACAGAAUCGUCAGCAAGAAUUUUUUUCCAGUUUGCUUCAUCACAAGUCACCAAUGAAAAACUUCAACUUGUCAAAUUUUUUGCUUUUACAACAGAAGCUAGUAAAAUUGUUGGUAUAUCAUUUACUUGAAGCAAAAAAAAAACUUUCUGCAAUCAAAAGCUAAUGUUAAUUGUUGAAGAAACUAUCAACAAACUUAAGUUAUGCAUCAAUAUGAGCAAAUGAUAUGGGGUGGCAAAAGAAAAAAAAAACUAAAUCAACCCUUUAUUGCAACCUCCAACAAGAAUAUAAAGAAUACUACAAUUCAAGAACAUAAUUGAGGUGGGACAUAUACUUCAUGCCUCAAAGAUUAAUAAUUCAGAAGAGAAAAAGAAUUGAAAAAUUAGCCAACUUGGAUUCAUCAACUAACUCAUAAUACAAUGAGCAGCUUAAAUUGCCUAUACCAAUGAAAAAAAUGGGCUAAUAAGCAAUGAAAAGUGAGAUCAGAUUUCACGUAACAGAUACCAAACUCAACUAAAGGACUUAAAAGUUGUCACCUUUCUUUGUUUUCAAGAAUUCUUGAAACUUUCUAUUGAACCGGAACAAGAAGAAGAAGAAAGUUGGUUGAAAAUUUUCUGAGUCACAGCUUCUCUCCCUUUCACUGUAGAUCUGAAAGAAUCUCUUGAAAGUGCUCAGUCAAUGAUAAAAAUAAUACUCCCUUCCAUUGGACCUUUAUGAAGAAUGUUAAAGGAGACCAUGUGAAUGCUAAAAGAAAAAACCUCCAAAAACCCAAAAAUAUAAUUAUUUUUAAAAACAAAAAAUAUGUGGAGACCAAACUCAAGAAGCCAUGUGCGUUUUGUAAGUCUACUUAUUUUCUUAUGUUUGUUCCUUUCAAUAUUUUAUAAACAACCCCUCAUCACAUUUCUCCAAAUCCUUCCUUUAAUAAUUAUAUGUCUAAUUUUUCGGGUUAGAUUCAUAGUACUCUGAUUUUUUCAUCUCAAAUAUGAAAAUUGAACAACAUUCAAUUUUAUGAAAACUCUCUUAAUUUUUCUUUCUAUCUUAAUUUUUCUUUCUCUCUCUUGUUGUACUAAAAUUGUUUAAACAAGAAAUGAAUCAGCUGCUUGCUAGUGACUAUAAUAUAGUUUGUAUUUUUUUGUGGUGGCAACUAACUAGACAAAGAGGGGUCUGUGUAUUCUGUUUCUUGUUUUUUAAAUUUGGAGAAGACGGAGGUUGCUCCCCGCCUUUUACGAGGUGACGUACUUUUAAGGCGCGUGUAUUUCACUUUCCAUCUCUCUGGAUGAAUCAGUUUUCUCUUGUUGACUUAUUGUACUUGUACUCCUUAUUAUGUAAAUGUAUGUAUUGCGUUGUCCAAUGAUUAGCAUGAAUUUACACCAAACACCUUGUAGUUUAAGUCUUUUGACACUUCACCCCUCUCAUUUGCUUUUUGUGGUUUACAUUACUUUUAGUCGAGCACUAAUAAAAUAUGGAGUAUUACAAUAUCGAAAGAUGAAAGAUUCUCUUCUAAAUAUUGAAAAUUACUUUAAGAAUUAGUCUCGAUUUACUGUACUCUCAUUGUCCCAAUUUAUGUGAUAUUAUUUGAUUUAAUAUGAAAUUUAAGAAAGAAAUGAUGAUUUAUAAAAAAAAUUGUGCCCUAAAAUAAAUCUUAGGCAUUUGUGUAGAUAUAAAUUAUAUUAAAAUGAGAGUUUUAAAAUUAAAUUAUUUUUUAAUAUAGAAAAGACAUUUUUUGGAUAAACUAAAAUAAAAAAAAAGUGUCAUAUAAAUUCUGACAGAUAAGGUAAUUAAUUUUCUAAUCGUUGCAUAUUGCGGUUCUUAGUUCCGCUUUUGUUAUUAUAAUUUUUUGCAUGAGCACACAUGGUGCCAAAUGAUAAAGAGGAAUUAUGUUAAAACUUCCCUUGAUAUUUGUUAAUAUGACCCUUUGACACCCUUCAUUCCUAAUUUUACAUAUAACGCGCCAAACCCAUUGGUUAAUUCUGAUACUUAAAAUAUUGUUGAAAUGAUUGAUCCAGCAUCAUCUUAGAACUUUAUGACUUGUUGAACCUAUUUCACAUUUUGUAGAAUAAGUAGGAUAUGUUAUAUAGUAUGUUAAACAUUUCUUAUCUUACCAGUAGUUAUAAAUAGAGGCAGAUCCAGAAUUUUAAGUUUAUGAGUACGGAAUUUUAAUAGUUUUAAGUUAUUAAAUUUUAAUUUAAUAAUUUAUAUGUACUCAUUAAAUUUUUUAAAUCAAAUAUAAAGUUCGAAUUAAAAUUACUAGGUUCGACAAAAUCCAUUUUCGAUACUCUAACUCUGCCGUGGUUAUAAGAUCUCGUGCCUCAAAAAUUAGAGAAUUUACUUUUUACACAUUAUGAUUGUGCUUGAAGAAAAAAUUGAAUAUUAGGACUUUAUUAUGUGCUUAUUUGUGAGUACGCAGUUAAAAUUAGAGAAUUUACUUUUUACAUACGUAAGGGCAAAACAAAAAUACGCACGUGAUGAAAUACAUAUUUGCAUCUGGCCCAUUAAUUUUGAGCUUGUCUUUAAAUAGGGAUAAAGUAUGUGUAAAUUAUUUUCGAAAUCUAGGAUAUAAUAUUAUAUUUUAUAUUUUCGUAUGUAAAAGUAUGUUAUAUGUAAACUGAUGUAAGCUCAAAAAUGAGAUCAUCUUUGAAAAGUUUAUAAAGUAAGGUAAUUAUGUUAUUGUAGAGGUUAUAAUUAUUUAGGAUCAUGAUUGUCAAAUACCAAGGGGGUUGAAAGACUUAGAAGCUAAUCAAAUUGAACAAAAAUAAGUUUCAUGGAAAGUCAACAAGUUGGAACAUUAUAACAUGUGCUUUUGGGAUAAGGAUAGGGUGCUUAACAUGAAAAUGAGGUUAUGCUAUGAGUUAUUUUAGUUGUAUGAUAGUCGUGUAUUACGUUUUUAAGUCAAGAGAGUUGUGGAACAAUGUUGUCAAAGGUCAUAACAAGUUACAUUCAUAAAUGUGUAGAAAAUUAGGUCAAAUAUAUCUAAGCAUUUCUCCCAUGAUACUUGGAAAUACAGGAUGAUCUACCUACCAAAUUAAAGAUCUGUGAGUCUAGUUUUCAACGAAUUAAACCGAUCAUUAAUAAAAUAUAGGAGUAGGCAGAUAUUUGCGCUUCUGCGAGAAUGCGUAGACUGGUAGGUGACAAGUAGGUGCAUCACCUACUUGCCAAACGGAGAAGCAUCAAUUUCGGGUUAUUUCGGGUGUUACGAUGUGAUUCUAGUGCCAAAAACCCCUGAUAGCUUACUAGUUUCUCUUUCUCUUUCUUGUAGCUGCUUUGGGGGACUGAUUUUUGAUGAAGAGGGACUAGGUUCUAAGGUUUCUACUCAAUCCAAUGUAGGGUUAUGCUUCUCCUUACAUUAUUUAUUCUUGUACGAAUUGUAACUCGAUCGUAAAGAUUAGACCUAGCGAGUUUCGAAAAUAUGGUAUGUUGUUUGUUGUUGUGUAACUAUUGGCUGGUUGUGACCUUAUUUUUAAGUUGAAUUUAUGGAUGGUGUAUAGGAUAAAAAUCUUAAUUAUGUAUUGUUGUUUGGGUUGCUCAAUUUGAAAGAAAAGACAAGUCCAAACGUAUUUUAGUAAACUGAAAAAUCAGUUUUGGGUUGCUGAACUUAUGGGACUAUUUGUGGGAUGUUUUGUGUUGCUGUUAGGUUGACUAUAUUGCUACUAUUUGUAUGGAGUUUGGGAGGAGAGAUAGUGUGGAGAAAUAUCACCUAAUGCCAGGGUGGUUGGUUGGUCAUUCGUCAUUACAUUUUCUGGUUGUUUGACACUACAAGGGUUGUCGUUUUGUGUAUGAACUGAUUGGGGUUUGUAGGCUAUUUUAUGAGAUUUUGUGAUAGAUAUAAGGCUGGAAAAUGAUGUAUACAUGUUGUUCUUGUUGUUGGUGGUGUUAUGUCGAAUUGGGAGGAAGUAAAGAUUAUAGGAGAGAUGUUGCUCGUUUUAUCAUAAAAUAAACUUGUCGUUCAUUGUGUGAUAGUUGUACCUUCCAUAACUUGAUGAUAAUAUUGGUAUCCUUGUUGUAGAUUAAGGUGCAACGAGACGAGUUUAACGGGGUUAUAAGACAUAUAAUUAUAAGGUAUCUUAAGGCUAAACCCUUCCUUAUUUUUGGUAUGAUCUCGUAACUACAUGUGUUUAAUAACGAGGCAUAAAGAGAAGUUCAUACUCCCGAAUUUAUGUACAUUAUCCUAGUCUCAUAAGUUACAAUAUUCUCCUUUAUCGAGACUUUAUAUUCAAUUGAGUAUUUUCUUCUUCCAAUCAAUAGAGAAAAGGGUCUAUAUANNNNNNNNNNNNNNNNNNNNNNNNNNNNNNNNNNNNNNNNNNNNNNNNNNNNNNNNNNNNNNNNNNNNNNNNNNNNNNNNNNNNNNNNNNNNNNNNNNNNNNNNNNNNNNNNNNNNNNNNNNNNNNNNNNNNNNNNNNNNNNNNNNNNNNNNNNNNNNNNNNNNNNNNNNNNNNNNNNNNNNNNNNNNNNNNNNNNNNNNNNNNNNNNNNNNNNNNNNNNNNNNNNNNNNNNNNNNNNNNNNNNNNNNNNNNNNNNNNNNNNNNNUAUUACAAUAUUUUCAUCACCACCGAGCUAUAAUCAAUGGGCAAGCCCCUAUUGGGCAAUCUUUGAUCAGAUGGUAAGUUGUAUAAUGAGCCUACUUUUAUCGAGUGCCUAUGAGUGAGCUAAGAAUGGUCGAGAUAUAGAGCAUAGUAUGGCCGGGAAUCUAUGAGUGAGCUUAUUAAGGCAGAGCAGUUACAUAUACCGAGCCUUAUAGGACCGGACAACUAUUUUACUUACUAUAUUGAGAGUGUUGAGUCAGUAUUGGCAGGUAAGCAUAUCUUCAAGUUAUAUUUGACUCCCAAGUACUUUCAGUUGUUAUAUUAUCAGUUCAGUUUUAGCUUUCAAUUAUUUUUUUGCCUUACAUACUUGGUUUAUUAUUUCGUACUGACAUCUCGUUUGUUAGGACGCUGCAUUUCAUGUUUGUGGUCCUGAUAGACAGCUGGAUAAACCUUCAUAGCAGAUAGAGUAAAACAUCAGCUUGGUUGGUAAGCUCCACUGCCUAGGAGCUACUAGGUCUAGACCUUGGAGUCUAUUUUAUAUAUACAUGUUUGAUGGGUAGGUCGAGGCCCAAUCCCGAUCAUGAUACAGUUCAGCUAUCGCUAGGGGCUUGUAGAUGAGUCAUGUAUAUUUUGUAUAUCAGUAGAUGUUCAUGACGUCCUCAUCAGCCUGCAUAUAUAUGUGUGUGUGUGUAGGUGUGUGUGUGUGUGUGUAUAUAUAUAUAUAUAUAUAUAUAUAGCCUAUGAGCGAGCCAAGAAUGGUCGAGAUAUUGAGCCUAGAAUGGACAAGCGUCUAUGAGUGAGCCUACUACGGCAGAGCAGCUACAUAUACCAAGCCUUAUAGGACCGGACAACUAUUUUACUUACUACAUUGAGAGUCUUGAGUGAGUUUCAGCUGGUAAGCAUAUCUUGAAGUUAUAUUUGACUCUAGGUACAUUCACUUGUUAUAUUAUCAGUUCAGUUUUAGUUUUCAAUUAUUAUGUUGCCUUGCAUACUCGGUAUAUUAUUUCGUACUGACGUCCUGUUUGUUAGGACGCUGCAUUUCAUGUCUCUGGUCCUGAUAGACAGCUGGAUAGACCUUUAUAGUAGAUCGAGUAACACAACAGCUUGGUUGGUAAGCUCUACUGCCUCAGAGUUAUUUGGUCUAGACCUUGGAGUCCAUUUUAUAUAUAAAGGUUUGAUAGGUAGGUCGAUGCCCAAUACCGAUCAUGAUAUAGUUCAGCUAUCGCUGGAGGCUUGUAGAUGAGUCAUGUAUAUAUAUAUAUGUAUGUAUAUACAUAUAUAUAUAUAUGUAUAUAUAUAUAUAUAUUUCUUACUUUGAAAAUAUUAUUACUUUUUUAAACUUAUGUUAUACUUUUCAAAAUGGUCUAAAUUUAUCAAUAAUUGUUUGAAUGUUAUUUGUUUAUCUUUUAUUUUUUAAUUAAUUCAAAUAUAAAUACCAUAAUAUAAUACAAUGAAUAACAUUUUGGAUUACUCUUUGAAAUUUAACUUAACUUUAUGAUUCUUAUAAUUAUUAGAUAUUUAAAUUUAUCAAUAUAUUUUUAAAUAUCAUUAUAAUUUUUCUAAAUGGAUGGUCUUGAAUUAGUUCAAAUGUUAAACUGAGAGGUUCUUUUAUAUAUGCCAUAAAUCUACUAAUAAUUAUAAUUAUAAUUAUUUUCAAUAAGAAAUUAUCAGAUGAUUUAGAAUAUGGCCUCAUCGGCCUAAGUUGAUGGUUACCCCUCCAGAGUUCACAGUUACAGAGUGGUACACUUGGAUCGAGUAUGGCAUUGGGUGCCAGCCACGGCUCUUCAGGUUUAGGGCAUGACAAACUGGUAUUAGAGCAAUUUUAUCCUAGGGAGUCUACAAGCGAUGUCUAAAAAAUCCUUGUUUAUAAAUUUGUUGUGCACCAUAUUAUAUAAAUAGGAAGCUACAAGGUAUUUAGGAGUUUGUUGCCCUUCUUUCAAAUCAAAAUCGUGCAAUAGAGAUAAGUUAUAAGAGUUCGAGCCAGGACAUAAGUUUGCUAAUGAUAUAGAUAUACUUGCAAUUAGAUAAGUUACAGCUAGCAAGAGGGCUAAUACAGCAGCAGAUAAGGGCACUAGUAGAGAGAGAAUUCUUGACAAUGAGGCCCAGUUUGAGGCCCUAUUAGAUCAUGCAUACCAAAUGUGCGAAUUUUCUACUUAAGACCCUAAGAUGGGAAUUUUGUUCGAAAGGCUUUACUCUAUAGAAGUACGUUCUGUGAUGAGUGAUGAAGGUGGUCUUCUCCUGGUCUUCCUCUUCCAUAAGGAUCUGAUUAUAGCCCGAUUACACAUCUAGGAAGCUAUGCAGCUCGUACCCGGCCAUUGCGUUGAUGAGUUAGUCGAUAUGAGGAAGCGGGAACGAAUCUUUCGGGCAGGCUUUGUUUAGGUCUGUGAAGUCCAUGUACAUCCACCACUUCCCGUUCUUGUUUUCCACCAUGACCAUGUUGGUGAACUAUUGAGGAUAUUUUGACUCCAUGAUUGACCUAUUUUCCAAAAACUUCUCUACCUCUUCACGAACUGCAUCGUUUAUGGCAAUAUUGAAUUUCUACUUCAUUUGUCUCAUCGGGGGGUGGAACGGGUCGACGUUCAACUUAUGUGUUGCUAUCUCCUUUGGGAUACUCGACAUGUCUACGUGGGAAAAAGCAAACAGGUCUAUGUUAUUUUUUAAGAAAUUGAAAGAAUUUAUCUGGUUCUUGGAGCUUGUGGCCGAUGAAAGAUUUCUUGCUGCUAUCUUUGUCAUCGAGUUGGAUGGGGUCGAGAUCCUCUACGAUCGACCCUGUGGCUUAGAUGACUUCAGGUUCUUUGAUAACGUCUUUCCCUUUACCCUCUCUUGACCCUGACCUCGUUAAUUGUUAUGCCUCUUCGGCUUUGCCCUUUAGUUGUUUGGUGUAUGUGCAGUCUUGGGCGAUGUGGUAGCAUUCUCGGGCAGUGUGUUGCUAUACUCAUAUACUAGAUACCCCUAGGGGAUAGGAAAUUUGAUGACCUGAUAUAAGCUAGAGGGGACAACUUUUAUGGCGUUUAUCCAAGGUCAACCUAUGAUGACGUUGUACGUUGUAUCCUGGUCUACGAUAUGGAAUAUGGUUUCCAAAGUGAUGCCACCGGCUAGGAUGGGCAGCGUGAUUUCUCCAGAUGUCUGCUCAAAUGCAUUGUUGAAACUCGUUAGUGUGAUAUAGUGUGGCAUUAUCCUAUCCUGGGGCUUCAUUUGUGCGAGAACUCGAGGGUGGCUGAAUACGUGCCGCUCCUAUUAUCAACCAUAAUAUGUUUACAUCAGUCUAAGAUGUGUAAAGUGAUGACAAGGGCUUCAUAGUAAGGAAAAAACGAAUUGUGGGUAUCCGACUUAUCGAAGAUGAUACUUUUUUCGAGUUUGUCAUAUUAUUCGUGAGUGAUCGACCGUUUGAGUUUGUGGGUUGUGGUGAACUUCACAUUGUUUAUUGAGGCAUCAUCGCCCCCUCCGAUGAUCAUUUGAAUGGUUCAAGCUGGGGAAGGUAGUUUGGGCGGUCCCUAAUGUUGUUCACGUCCUCAGGCGAAGUUGGCUCUUCCUCGGUCGCUCAUCAGCUCUUUCAAGUGCCCUUGGUGAAGCAUGUUCACGACUUCUUGUCUUAGGGCGAUACAAUCUUUAGUUUUGUGACCUCGUUCUUGGUAGAAUUCGCAGAGGCAUUUGACUUUCUGGUGCUCGGGUUGGACCUCAUCUUCUGUGGCCACUUCACUUACUGUCCGAGCUUCUCCAGUGUGUAGACUAUUUCAGAGUGGGAAACAUAGAAAUUGUGAGCAAAUAAUAAAGGGGGCAUAUCUCUCUUACUUUGGUGAGUUCCUGUUUGUGUCCUGGAUGGCCUUCGUCGUAGCAUGGAGGCGGCAUGAGGGUGCCUCUGAUGUAAGGCUGAUGUCUCUCCCAAUUAGGUCGAGGUCCCACUAGGUCUCUCCUGUUGUUAUUUCUCCGGUGUUUCUUGGACUCGGCUUGUACCGAAGCUAGCCGUUGGGUCAGCCCAUUAUAUUAUCAUUGUCGGCUCGAACCUCAGUGCAAUAAGCAAUGUGUAUCUCGUCUCAAGUGGUCGAGGGAUAUUUUAUGAGGUGGCUCAGUAGCUUUAUAGUCAUCCUUGAACUGCUUCUAUUCAGCCCAUUUUGGAAGGCUACCAUGGCCAUUCCUUCUUAUACGUUUGGUAAGGUCAUCCUUACUCGGUUAAAUCAAGAGAUGAAGUCCAUUAGUCCCUCUCCAAGUGAUUGUUUGAUGGCAAAUAUAUCAUUUACUCGUGUAUCCGCCUUUUUUUCUCUAGCAUAGGUUGAUAUGAACUUGUUGACCAUCUCCUUGAACGUUCCAAUCGAGCAUGCGGGCAACUAUGUAUACCCAGUCAAUGCGGCCCCAAUGAUGGUUUUUACGAACUUCUUCAAUAAGAUGGAGAAUACUUUCUCUUUUGCGAGGUUGUUGACCUUCAGUGCAGUAUACGUAGUAAGUCACAUGAUUUUCAAGAUCCGUUAUGCCAUCGUAUAUUUUUAGGUAUGGCGGCAUUUUGAAAGUAUUGGGUAUUUCAUGUGGUGCAAUUUCAUUGCUAUAUGGUUGCUCGACAAACCGACAUGCGUAUCUUUUUGGUAGGAGUUUUGGGUGCCUGGUACUUUGUCUACCCUUUCUUGAUUCUCUUUCAUUUGGUCGCGAAACAUUUUGUUCUCGGUCUCUAUCUCAUCCAUUUUCUUUAGAAUAGCCGUGAGGGUGUCAUUACCUGCAUCACUAAUACUGUGAGUAAUACCUAUUACAGGAGGGGCAUGUUGUUCGUCUAUUGCUGGCACAAUACAGACUCUUGCAUCUUCUUUGUUCGAUCUUUGGGUAGGCUUAUCGAGAAUGCUGGUCAGCAUGUUCAUCAACCAUGUCUCGAGCAGUUUUUUCACUAUCGGUGGCGUCUCUUCCAUUGCAGACGUAGAGGCCCCUUUACCGCAUGAGGUUGUGACACUGCCAUGUGGAUGGGGCGAGUUGUUUCACCUGAGAGAGGUAUUUUGUGUUACGUCUUCACCCUCCGUUUCAUCGGCUUCGUUGAUGUUGUGGUGAAGAUUGGUGGUGAGGUCGAUUAUUGAUUUCCUCUUUUACUCUCUGUUUCCUUCCAUGUUAGAUUCAUGCACACAAGGAAGUAUAGGGUUUUUGCAUCUCCUUUUUUUUAGAUCUCGAAGAAACUUAAUUUUAACUAGAAAUUCUCCACAGAUGGCGUCAAAUUAUUUGACCAAAAACUGUGAAACUCUUUGUUAAACUAAUUAAGUUGAUAUAGGAUUAAUCCUACUUAAAGAUAAUAUCCCUAUCUCUAAAAUUAGUUCAUACGGAUAAUGUGUGAUCAAGUUGAAGUAAAUUCAAUGCGAUGUAUAAUAAAUGUUAUUGCUUUUAAUGUGAUGAGAGCAAGUAGUAAGUAACAAUAAAUGACAAUAAAUGUAAAUAAGGAGGAGUAUUCGCCCAAUAAUGGAAGAGGUGAAUGAUUCCUUCUUCUGACAAUGAUGAAUGACUAGAAUAUGAGAGAAUAUUAUACACUUUUUCAGAUCUGGUGAAAAUGAUAAUAGAUUGAAUUUAAGAAUCGUAUCUCUCUUAGAAAGUUGUUUUUCAUAUUUAUCUAGAGAGCAACAACAACAACAACAACAACAACAACAACCCAAUAUAUUCCCACAAGUGGGGUCUGGGGAGGGUAAUAUCUACCUCGAGGGACAGAGAUGCUGUUUCCAAGAGACCCUCGGAUCAAGAAGGAAACAAGUGACAGAAAUAAUUGAUUAUAUAUUAAUACUAGCAAUGAACUCAUUAAAUAACAUAAAAUACACAACAUAACAUAAAAAACAAAAUAACAACAAUAUAAGGAAUAUAAGAAAUACGAGAAAAAGGAAAGUAUACUAAUAUCUAGAAUAUAAAGCGCUGCAUCAAUAGCAUCCUAAGCUAUCCUAAGCCUAACUCCUAACUGUCUAGUCUCACUCUAGCGCGCUGUAGAAAUAUCCCCAACUUUGCCCUAACCUACAACCUUAAUGCUCGACCUCCACAAUCCCCUGUCAAGGGCCAUGCCCUCAGUAAUCCUAAGUCGCGUCAUGCCCUUCUUGAUCACCUCUCCCCAAUACUUCUUAGGUCUCCCUCUACCUCUCUUUGUGCCCACCACCUCCAAUCGCUCACAACUCCUCACCCGGUGCAUAUGCGCUCCUUGUUGAAUGUGCCCGAACCAUUUGAGUCUUGCUUCCCGCAUCUUGUCCUCCAUGGACGCCAUGCCCACCCUCUCUCGAAUAUCUUCAUUCCUAAUCUUAUCCAUACUUGUAUGCCAACACAUCCACCUCAACAUCUUCAUCUCUGCUACUUGCAUCUUCUGGAUGUGUGAGUUCUUAACCGGCCAACAUUCGGUCCCAUACAACAUGGCCGGUCUAACCAUUGUUGUAUAAAACUUACCUUUUAGUGACGAUGGCACUUUCUUGUCACACAAGACUCCUGUUGCUAGUCUCCACUUCAUCCACCCCACCCCUAUACGGUGUGUGACAUCCUCAUCGAUCUCCCCGAUCCCCUGAAUAACUGAACCAAGGUACUUGAAACUACUCCUCUGAGGGAUGACUUGGGAGUCAAGCCUCACUUCCACUCCCAGGUCUGUCGGCCCUCGGGCCCAAAUUUGCACUCGAGAUAUUCUGUCUUCGUCUUGUUCAACCUGAAACCUUUAGACUCAAAGGCCUAUCUCCAAACCUCUAGCCUCGCGUUAACGUCGCAUCUUGUCUCGUCUAUUAGGACUAUAUCAUUAGCAAAUAGCAUACACCAUGGAACCUCCCCUUGAAUAUUAUGCGUUAUGGCAUCCAUCACCAGGGCAAAUAGGAAAGGGUUGAAUACAGACCCUGGGUGCAACACCGUAUAAACCGGAAAAUGCUCGGAGUCGCCUCCUACUUAUCUAACCCGAGUCUUAGCUCCAUCAUACAUGUCUUUAAUCACCCUAAUGAAGGCAACCAGAACCCCUUUAACCUCUAAGCAUCUCCAUAAAACCUCCCCAGGAACCCUGUCGUACGCUUUCUCUAGAUCGAUAAACACCAUGUGGAGAUCCUCCUUCUUAUCCAUGUAUUGUUCCACCAUCCUCCUAAUAAGGUGGAUAGCUUCUAUGGUAGAUCGCCCUGGCAUGAACCCAAACGCGUUGUCUGAAAUAGACACCGUCCUUCGCAGUCUCAUUUCUACCACUCUCUCCCAGACUUUCAUAGCAUGACUAAGUAAUUUGAUACCCCUAUAGUUGUUACAGCUUUAGAUAUUACCUUUAUUCUUAUACAAUGGAACCAUUGUACUCCACCUCCACUCUUCAGGCAUCCUAUUAGUCUUGAAUAUAACAUUAAACAACCCAGUAAGCCAUUCAAAAAUAGAUACCGUCCUUCACACUCUCAUUUCUACCACUCUCUCCCAGACUUUCACGGAACAACUCAGUAAGUUUAUACCUCUAUAAUUGUUACAGCUCUGGAUAUCUCCUUUGUUCUUAUACAACGGAACCAUUGUACUCCACCUCCACUCUUUAGGCAUCCUAUUAGUCUUGAAUAUAAUUAAACAACCCAGUAAGUCAUUCUAAGCUUGCUCUGCCCAUACACCUCCAAAGUUUAACAGAAGUUAUGUCUGGCCCGGUAGCUCUACCUCUCCUCAUCUGACGCAUUGCCUCCAUGACCUCAUCGACCUCAAUGUCCCUAUAAUCAUUUGUCUCAUAUAGGCUAUCGGCAUUUUGCAAAUCCCCUAGUACAAUAUCCUGAUCCCCUUCUCCAUUCAGAAGUUUAUGAAAGUAGGUCUGCCAUCUCCUUUUAAUCUGGUCAUCCCCCAUCAAAACUCUUCCUUCAUCAUCUUUUAUGCACCUCACUUGGUCCAGAUCCCGAGUCGUCCUCUCUCUCACCUUAGCGAGUCGGAAUAACUUCUUCUUCCCGCCUUUAUUCCCUAGUUCCUCAUACAAACGAGCAAAAGCUGCCGUCUUAACCUCCGUAACUAUCAUCUUCGCCUCCUUCCUAACUACCUUAAAUCUCAAAUUCAAAAUGUAGACGCAAUAUGCCAAUUAGACAUAUAGCUCUUAAAUUAGAUGCAGUCCCAAUUUCAACUCAAAUAGCUUCUUCUCCCCUCUUUUGUUCCCUAGCUCCUUAUACAGACGAGCAAAAGCUGUCGUCUUAGCCUCUGUAACUUCCAUAUUCGCCUCCCUCCUAGCAACCUUAUAUCUCUCAAUGUUCGCUCUCAUCUCCUCCUUUCCAGCACUCCCUACUAACCGUAGGUAAGCCGCCUUCUUCACUUCCACUUAACCUUAGACAACUACAUUCCACAACCAGUCUCCUUCGUGGAAACCGAUGCGUCCCGAAGAUAUCCCUAACACCUCUCUCGCCGCAUUCCUUAUACAGUCUGCCGUCAUCGACCACAUAGUAUUUGCAUCCCCACUACUUCUCCAAGCUCCCAUUACGAUAACCUUCCUACCAACUCCUGAGCUUUAUCCUCAGUCAAGCGCCCUAUCUAAUCCUCGGGCGGCCUCGUACUAACAUUUUCUUCCUCCUUAUCAUAAUACCAAUGUCCAUCACCCAAAACCUAUGUUGCGUCGCAAGGGGCUCACCUGGGAUAACUUUGCAGUCCUUGCACAACCUUCUGUUGCAUCUCUUGAGAGGAGAUAGUCCAUCUGAGUCUUCGCCAUCGAACUUUGGUAAGUAACCAAAUGCUCCUCCCAUUUAGGAAAACUAGAGUUCACAAUCACUAGAUCGAAUGCUUUGGAAAAGUCCAACUGUGAAGUUCCCCCUCCGUUCUGCUCCCCGAAACCAAAUCCACCAUGUACCUCAGUAUAACCACCUGCAGAUGAUCCAAUAUGACCAUUAAAAUCUCCUCCUAUAAAUAAGCUCUCAAAAAGUGAAAUACUACGAACGAUGUCAUCCAACCCUUCCCAAAUCGCCUUUUAAUCUCCUCAUCCAAGCUACUUGCAGCGCGUACGCGCUAACGACAUUUAAAGUAAACUUACCCACCACCAAUUUAAUGGUCAUUAGUCUAUUAUUCUCUCGCCUGGCCUCAACCACCGACUCUCUAAGGUGGCUAUCUACCAGAAUACCCACUCCGUUCUUACCCCUCAGGACUCCAGAGUACCACAACUUAUACCCAUCCACAUUUUUCGCCCUCGAUCCGACCCACCUAGUCUCCUGGACACACGCUAUAUUAAUCUUCCUCUUCUGAAGGAUCUUCGCCAACUCUAUGGACUUACUCGUUAGCGAACCUAUGUUCCAUGACCCGAUUCUCAACCUAUAGGCUCCUUUUCCCCCUCGACCUCGCCUGCCUCCCGUACCAUACCUAACCCCGACCUCACGCUCUGUCCCACACGAGGACAUGCCCUUAAUCUAUCAUUCCAGAUUGCAGCCACUAUGCCUACGGCCAAUCCAAAGAAGACUCGCUAGUGCACAAUCGACAACAAAUCGAACUAGAAGGAAGAAAGUGACUACAAGUACACAAGUAGAAUGACUAAACUAUUGUGAACUAGAGUGACAUCAAAUUAACUAACACCAAAAGGGAAACUGUAGAACGAGAGAUACCAACUCCCGAGAACCAAACCUGUGUUGAAUUGCUGUACUCGAUGUAGUUGUAUGCUCACGCACCGCUUUUCACCGCCCUUUGAUGCCGCUCUUCCCAGUUUCUCUCCUUUGCUAGUGUUUGUGUGCCCAACUUGUCUUCAACAAGUUCG